GAAAUGCGAUAAGUAAUGUGAAUUGCAGAAUUCAGUGAAUCAUCGAAUCUUUGAACGCACAUUGCGCCCGCCAGUAUUCUGGCGGGCAUGCCUGUCCGAGCGUCAUUUCAACCAUCAAGCCCCCGGGCUUGUGUUGGGGACCUGCGGCUGCCCGCAGCCCCUGAAAACCAGUGGCGGGCUCGCGGUCACACCGAGCGUAGUAGCAAUCACCUCGCUCAGGGCGUGCUGCGGGUUCCGGCCGUUAAACAGCCUUACAAAACCCAAGGUUGACCUCGGAUCAGGUAGGAAGACCCGCUGAACUUAAGC
rnacentral:misc_RNA from 1 species